UCGUAUCGGAUUGGUUCUAUUGUAUGUCUUUAGUUGUGAUAAACAUUAAAAUGUUUUCUUAAUGGAAAGGUCGAGGAGGAGAAUUGAACCAGGUAUCACUCUCAUGUUAGAUACUGAGCCAACCACGACGUUAAUUCCUUCUUUAAGAUGUAAAUAUCAGGCACCAAGCUUUGAACACAUGGCAUAUAUCGAGAAGAAUAUUGCCUUGUUAAAACUGCCUUUUAGAUUGCUCAGCAUGCAUGCAUGAGGUAGGAAUCUCCUCCUAAGAUUGCGUGUUGUUCAAUUUGCUCCCCAGCAAUAUUUAUAGGAAAUAUGCAGUCAUAUAUUUUCCACAUGGUUUUAAGUCAGACUUGGAUAAGUUUUUUAACAAAAUUCCACAUCUACCCUAUUUUCAAUGGCUAGCUAGUCCCGUCAAUUCUAGUUUGUUGGUGGAUCAGAUAAUUUAUGAAUGUAUACGAAGAGUUCGGAGUUCAAUGAGAAUUAUGAAUUUUUCGGCUUGGAUCGUUAGGGAUUGCAUUCCCAAAAGUGGUGAGGAAAUGGGGCAAAUGUGAGCCGAAAAUGAACCUUGAUGGAUGUUGACUUCUCAAUCGGGACCAAAAUGAGUGUCAUAAAGGAGUCUUUCUCAUCUUGUUAUGGUAGGAUAGCCUCUCUGGAAGUGGUCUGGAAGAGGUCCUUAUCCAUUUUGCAAAGAAGCAUGCAACUAAGAGAAUAGAUCUCAUCUUCGUUAAACAAAAUAACUUUCCCACUUGUGAUAAUAACACAUGGCUUGCAACAAAUGCAUUUCAAUUUCAAAUUCCGCUCCUUCUCAAAUCGGUUCAAAGAGGUGGAGAAUCUCUUUGAUGGACCUUGCAUCUUUUCACCUCAUGGUGACAAUCCGCAUCGUUCAGUCAACUUGAACAACUUGUGCUGUCCUUCACUUCUGCGGUCAUUGAAAAAGAAAGCAAAGUCUGGCCCGUUUUGCGUCUUCAUUUCCAUUUACUUUCUGACGAGAAGCUCUUACUACAUGGAUGGAUGGAUGGCUCAGUCACCUCUUACAGAUUACUUUAAGAGCUCCGUUCAUUCAAUCCUUGACAAUGGCCCUGCCAGUCCGAUAAUUGUUACAUCCAUUUCUAAUAAUAUUUAAGUUUUCGGCUUGUCCAUGAUUUAAGUAGUCCUUUUACAGACAAUCGUCUGUUCCGUCUGUAUCUCAAGGUGAAAUCCCCGGCUGCGUGUUUAAGAAAGGAAUUCAAAAUUGAAGCCAAAAAACGUCCGUAUCUUUUAGUCCCGCUGAGCUACAUCUGAUCCCUUGAAUUUCUAGGGCCUAUUAAUCUUUGCCAUUAUUCAAUACACCCCAUUGUCCUACAACAAAACAUACGUUUAUCCACUUUGGGGCCAACUCAUCGGAGCUGCCUUGGGGAUUGCCUCAACAAUUUGCAUUCCCUUGUACAUUAUCUUCGCUUUGAUAACAGCUCCACAAGAAAAUAUAAUACUGAAAAUCCAAGGUCUCACAAAGCCUCAAAUGGAGACAACGCUUUAUCAUCGAUCCCAGCAACAGCCACGUGACCUCAAAGAAUCGAAGAGUCCAAUGAAUGUUUGAUUGUGUUUUCCAAUGACGAUGGAUACUAAUGUCGGAAUUCGAGAUAUCAUGUACCUCAUUGGUAACCUUUCUUUUUCAUUAUCAACAUGAGUAAUAAAUAAUGUAUUGUUU